AUUGAACGCUGGCGGCAGGCCUAACACAUGCAAGUCGAGCGGAUGAUGGGAGCUUGCUCCUGGAUUCAGCGGCGGGCGGGUGAGUAAUGCCUAGGAAUCUGCCUGGUAGUGGGGGACAACGUUUCGAAAGGAACGCUAAUACCGCAUACGUCCUACGGGAGAAAGCAGGGGAACUUCGGGCCUUGCGCUAUCAGAUGAGCCUAGGUCGGAUUAGCUUGUUGGUGAGGUAAUGGCUCACCAAGGCGACGAUCCGUAACUGGUCUGAGAGGAUGAUCAGUCACACUGGAACUGAGACACGGUCCAGACUCCUACGGGAGGCAGCAGUGGGGAAUAUUGGACAAUGGGCGAAAGCCUGAUCCAGCCAUGCCGCGUGUGUGAAGAAGGUCUUCGGAUUGUAAAGCACUUUAAGUUGGGAGGAAGGGUUGUAGAUCAAUACUCUGCAAUUUUGACGUUACCGACAGAAUAAGCACCGGCUAACUCUGUGCCAGCCGCCGCCGUAAGAC
rnacentral:rRNA from 1 species